rnacentral:lncRNA from 1 species
AGAAAGUGGCACAUGUACAUAGGAAGUGGUGGAUCACGAUCCUGCCGUGUGUCCCAGACCCUUCUCAGAUGAACAAGAAAGGAGAGAGACAUCACCAAGAAGAACAGGAUACAUGGAAAAGCAUAAUAAAAUUAUGAAUUAUGCUUUUACAUAAUAGCAGGAGACGGGAAGAAAGAUUUGCUAAUCAUUCUGGGGAAAGAGAAUUGGAACUACUUGGUUCAAAGUGAGCUCCCUGCAGGAAAAGUUUACCAACCAAUGGAACAGACACAAGGACUGUGGAAUACAGAUUCUGAACAUCCAAGCUGUACAAGGUGUGCAUGACUGUAAUCCCACCACCCUAGAGGCAGAGGCAGGAGGACUACAAACUGGAAGCCAGCCCAGGUGACAUAGCAAGACCCUGGGUCUAUUGUUCCAAACCAGAAAUAAACGGGAAAGAAGUCAAGGUGCUAACAUUUCCCACAUAUUAAAUACCUAAAGUAUAUCAAUGUAUAUUCUCUCAAAUAGGGAGAUGGUAUUUGACAACCCAAUGAUAUUAAUAUGUGGGGGAAAACUAGAAGACAUCAUAUCAGCUUUACCAUACAUACAUUUUAUUUUAACGAUUAGGUCAUAAACACCCCACUUUGAAGACUGUCUGCAAAAAAAAAAAAAUACUCAUUACUUCUUACCUCAGAACAUCUCACCCAUCCUUAGGUAGGGCAACAGGUGGGAUA